rnacentral:tRNA from 1 species
GGAGUCGGCUAAUUGGUAAGCCACCUGACUCUGGAUCAGGGCAUUGGAGGUUCGAGUCCUUAGGACGCCG